rnacentral:lncRNA from 1 species
GGGGGGACACAAGCAGCUCUGGAAUAAGCCUUGUCGACUUGAAUCUUUGGGCACCGAAGCAAGGUCGUAUACUCCUCCACAGUAGGCGUCAAAUCUACCUUCCCAAAAGUGAAACAACUGUAGGCAGGAUUCCAAAACUGAGCAAGGGCUCGGAAUAAAUACUUGUCCACUUUGACACUAAGCAGAUAAGGUAGGUCACCGUAGUUACAAUAGAACAGCUGCUUGGCCUCGAC